UAAGCACAAGGGAAACAUGCGCUGGUUUUGUUUAUAUUUUCGGUCAGCUGCGUCGCCGAGGCAGUGGUUUAAGAGAGCUGUGGUGGAUAGACUAGAGCUACUUUUGCCAUAGUUGGCCUCGUUUAGCUUUUGUUCCGCUUCCUAAAACUUUUUUACUUCCUCGCCAUGAGAUGAUUAAACAUUUCUAGAUUUACUCCUGUCCCCGCUCCACGGGCUGAAGGUUUUCGCAAUGAGAACCUGCAACCGACUAUCUGUUCUUAUUGUGAACCUAAUUUUCAUCACACCAUUUCCAGAUCUUCAGGCACAAAAACUGGAAGUAACGCCUAAAGUGACUGGAAUACUUGGCCAAGAAGUCAUUUUGAAAUGCCAGUUCAUCCAAGGACCAAAAAACACCUCCAUUACUCAGAUUCAAUGGGAUUUCGUGUCAGACAAAGAAAACAGUACAAUUCUUGUUUUUAGCAGCGAGUAUGGGAUGACUAUUAAAGAAUCCUCCCUGAAGGAAAGAGUGAAUCUUACAGAACAGUCACUGAAAAUUAUAGACGUGAAAAAGACAGAUGCAGGUUUAUACACCUGCAGUAUUGCUGUAUUUCCCAGUGGAUCUUUUGAAGAAACCACUAGACUUGUUGUUGACGGUAAGUAGGCAAUUUUCUUAUCAGAUGCAAAAAUAUUGCUAAUCAGCAUAGAUGAACUUCAUUUCAUUGCCUUGCUUGUCCUCUAUUCCUGU